rnacentral:sRNA from 1 species
UAAUUGCGUUAAGGAUUGAAGCGGCAUCCUUUUUUGUGUUUUCAAAAAAGAUAUAGCGUAAAGCCUGACGUUAC